GCCCGCUCAGAAACUUAAAGGAAUUGACGGGGCCCGCACAAGCGGAGGAGCAUGUGGUUUAAUUCGAUGAUACGCGAGGAACCUUAUCUGGGCUCGAACGUAAGAAUGACUGUAGGUGAAAGCUUACAUCUCUUCGGAGCAUUUUACGAGGUGCUGCAUGGUUGUCGUCAGCUCGUGCCGUGAGGUGUCGGGUUAAGUCCCAUAACGAGCGCAACCCUACCUUUAGUUGCCAUCAGGUAAUGCUGGGGACUCUAAAGGAACUGCCUACGCAAGUAGUGAGGAAGGCGGGGAUGACGUCAAAUCAGCACGGCCCUUACGUCCAGGGCUACACACGUGCUACAAUGGCCGAUACAGAGGGCAGCUACCUGGUGACAGGAUGCAAAUCUCCAAAGUCGGUCUCAGUUCGGAUCGGAGUCUGCAACCCGACUCCGUGAAGUUGGAUUCGCUAGUAAUCGCGCAUCAGCCAUGGCGCGGUGAAUACGUUCCCGGGCCUU
rnacentral:rRNA from 1 species